rnacentral:rRNA from 1 species
CCUACGGGAGGCAGCAGUGAGGAAUAUUGGUCAAUGGGCGGAAGCCUGAACCAGCCAAGUAGCGUGCAGGAUGACGGCCCUACGGGUUGUAAACUGCUUUUAUACGGGAAUAACGCGCCUUACGUGUAGGGCUUUGCAUGUACCUUAUGACUAAGGACCGGCUAAUUCCGUGCCAGCAGCCGCGGUAAUACGGACGGUCCGGGCGUUCUCCGGAUUUUUUGGGUUUAACGGGAGCGUAGGCCGCAUGUCAAGCGUGCUGUGAAAGGUCCGGGCUCAACCCGGGCCUUGCAGCGCGAACUGGCGUGCUGGAGUCCGCGGAAAGCAGGCGGAAUUCGUGGUGUAGCGGUGAAAUGCUUAGAUAUGACGAAGAACACCGAUUGCGAAGGCAGCUUGCUGCAGCGGAACUGACGCUGAUGCGCGAAAGCGUGGGUAUCGAACAGGAUUAGAUACCCCAGUAGUC